rnacentral:lncRNA from 1 species
AUCCAUGACACUAUGUUUGUAUCAUUUCAGCAACCUCUUGAGGCCUCAUGGAUCCGUCUUGGCGUACAGGUUCACAACAACAGUAAUACUUCUCGUCAUCUCCUAAAAGGCAAACGCCGGCAUGACCGCAUGCUUUAUGACAUAGCUCAGUACAGUUUUCCUUGGGAAAUGGACCGACGUCGCAUCCUGAGAAUCAGAUGCACUAGUGUAGGUUAAUUGCCAAAAUUGCGUCAAGUAACUUGACAGCUCUAGAAAUAGUGGACGCGGCAAUACUAAUAUCCACAUGUCUCAUGACCGCAAAAUGUACACUAUGUAAAGUUUGAUUUUGCUGAUUAGAAAUAAUAUCAUUGAUGAAAAAAAACGAACCAUUGUCGGCACGUGAGGAGAGAACGGUGGCCAUGAGCACUAGUGCUGUGAGGCACACAACGCUAUUACUCUUGCCGAGGACUGCCAUGAGGAGAUGCUGGAGCUUCUUUCUGAUCUGGAUCUGGGUGGUGUUGCUGCAAUGUUUACUGGCUGAGCCUUGGUGGUAUUCGUUUAUAUAGAGGCUUAUGGUUUUAAUGCAUUAAAUGCUUUCUUAGGAUCCAGGUUUGAAUGCGUUAAAUGUUUCCUCAGAUUAUGCUACGUAUUAACUUUUGUAAAUAAAUACCAUAUAUGUGGGUAACUCUUGCUGACCGAGCUUUGGCGGAGACAUGAAUUACUCUCCAUAAUAUCAUAAUAUCAUGCUCUCCAUAAUAUCCGAGCUUUGGCUUGCGGAGCGAGAGGAGAUGGCGUGCGUGGGGUGAGAAUGCGAGAGGUGAGGAGCGUGAUUUUUUUUGUCUCUCUCUUUCUGCCCAAUACGCGAGCGUCCCAGUCCGAGUCCCUCCCACCUAAUGGUAACGCCUUUUUUUUAUCUCCUUGUGAUGACGUGUUUAGCGUGAGAAGCCCCCCUUGAUGCGUACCAUCAUAACUCAUUACAUGGUAUGUAAUACUCCUCCAUUACUUUAUUUAAUGUGUAUUUGUUUUUUGAUAAAAUUUCAUAAUGUAAGGUAUAUUUCUUUCAGUUUCACAUAAUUCUAACCCUCCGGAAAAAGAAAGUAUCUCUUUUCGAUUGCAUGUACCUCUCUUUGUAAAGAAAAAAGAAAAAACAUCUCUUCCGAUUGUGUGUAUCUCUUGCUUUCAUAGCCUGAAUGAUUUAGUUUCCACUAAUCAACGAAUUAGCUAAGUGUAAUUUUGUCAUAAAUUGUCUAUAGUUAUGUGCCUUAGUCCAUACCGUAAACAAUAGACCUUACAUAAAGUAACGGAGGGAGUAUAGACUAGAAAUAAUAAAAAUAUUUCUCGUCAAAUGGAGGAAUUUCAGUAACUUUUGGUCGUAUUCUGAUCAAUGCGGCAAUGUGGUGCCGACGGCUCGCCCUCCACAGGCGCUGAUGGCCUCUCAAAAACAAUAAAUAAUCACUUGUCAUGGACACUCACUAUUAGAAAACAGGGCUUUGGUCACAGGGCAAUAUUCACAUUAGUCCCGGUUCAGUCACGAACCGGGACUAAUGUGAGCAUUGGUCCCGGUUCACCAGAGCCCUUUAGUCCCGGUUUGAGACACGAACUGGGACUAAAGGGUGCGAUGCCCAAUAGUACCGGUUCAUGGCACCAACCGGUACUAUAGGUUAGACCUUUAGUUCCGGUUCGAGCCACCAACCGGUAGUACCCCCCUUGGUGGAUCGCCUUUUCAGUUAUGUAAAAAGCAAAAGAAAAUGAUAAAAACUUAAAAACUUAAAAUCCUUCCAGAUGUAGUUAUGUUACUACAUGUACUACUUAGGAAAAUUUAAAAACUUAAAUUUGGACAUGUUUUGCAAAAACUGUAGGAAAAAUGUAAAACGGCUAUAACUUUUGCAUACGAUGCCAGAAAAAAACGUAUAAUAUAUCAAAAUGUUCAGCACGAAAAUCCGCAUCCAAUUUUGACCGCCUACGGCUUGUUUGCAAAUUUUUAGAAUCCUCAAAUUCUAAAAGGAAAAAAAGUUAUGCUCAAAUUUCAGUUUUUUUUGAAUUUUUGUUAAAUUUGGUCAAACUAUGGUCAAACUACUUAUUCAAGAAGUAUUACUGUUACUAAAUAAUUAUUCAAGAAUAUUAGUGUUACUAACUAAUUAUUUCAUUUUUUUUGAAUUUUGGUCAAAUCUGGUCAAACUGUGGUCAAACUAAUUAUUCAAGAAUACUAGUGUUACUAAAUAAUUAUUUCAAUUUUUUUUAAAUUUUGGUCAAAUCUGGUCAAACUGUGGUCAAACUAUGGUCAAACAACUUAUUCAAGAAAUAUUAGUGUUACUAAAUAAUUAUUUCAGUUUUUUUGAAUUUUGGUCAAACUGUGGUCAAACAAUGGUCAAACUAAUUAUUCAAGAAAUAUUAGUGUUACUAAAUAAUUAUUUCAGUUUUUUUUGAAUUUUGGUCAAAUCUGGUCAAACUGUGGUCAAACUAUGGUCAAACUAAUUAUUCAAGAAAUAUUAGUGUUACUAAAUAAUUAUUGUUUUUUAAAACAAUAGUUUCAAACUCAAACAGUGAAAUGUGUGGCUUCAUGCUCAAGUUAAAUUCCUGAGGGUUAAUAGGAUUGACAUCUUACUAUUGUUAGGAAAACAACAAGUGCAGACUUGGAAACGAGGGAGAAUAGAACCCGGAAGUUAAGCGUGCUCAGGCUGGAGUAGUGAGAGGAUGGGUGACCGUCCGGGAAGUUAGAUGCUUUAGAAUGAUGAGGGGUGAUUAGAGAUUAGAGGUUAAAUUGAGCAGUGAUGAGGGGUGGUGAUUAGAGAUUAGAGGUUAAAAUAAUUCAGAAAUUUGAAAAUAAAAAAAUUCAAAUUUUUUUUGAAAAAAAAUCAUAAAAUUUCCUUUAGUCCCGGUUGGUAACACCAACGGGGACUAAAGGUGGAGCUCCAGGCUGCGGCCACGUGGACGGCCUUUAGUCCCGGUUCGUGUAAGAACUGGGACUAAAGGGGGAGGCUUUAGUAACGACCCUGUAGUCCCGGUUCCAGAAUCGGGACUAAAGGCCCUUAUAAACCGGGACAAAAGACCCUUUUUCUACUAGUGACUAUUGGUGAUCGGUGCCGAAAUCCGACGGCCCCCUCCGUGUGAAGCUCUGACGUGACCACAUGCGGCCUCGGCUGCCCUCAGCCUCGGCAUCCCUAGGGCGGACGAACUUGAAGAGGGACUCGCCCCACGCACGAAUGACUGCGCACUUCUCCCGAUCCUCGGUGACCUCUCAGACGUAGUCUUUCAAGACGGGCUGCUAGAAGGGCUGGUCCAUGGCCGCUUAUAGGUCCCGCAUGGCCGGGCCUCUAGAUAUGCUCUAAGUAUUGCACAUCUAAGUCCUAUAUAAUUGAUUUUGCGUGGAGAUUUGUGAGAGUAUUUUCUUUUUUCUUUUUGUCCGUUUUUAUAUUUGAUUGAGUCACUUUAACUAGGCCACCCUAGACUAACCCAUAUACUACUUAAGAGAAAAGACAAACACAACAACAGAUUGACAAGAAAAUUCAUUAUUUGUUUAACUACAUCAACAUCAAGAGCUAGCACAUUUAUUCGACAUGGUUCUGGUGAUCCGUGACAUUAUGUUUGUAUCAUUUCAGCAACCUCCUGAGGCCUCAUGGAUCCAUCUUGGCGUACUGGUUCGCAGCAACAGUAAGACUCUGGACCGUCUGAUGAGCAAGCGCCGGGCUUACCGCAUGCUUUUUCACAUAGCUCGGGACACUUUUCCCCGGGAAAUGGACCGAUGUCGCAUCCUGAGAAUCAGAUGCAUUAGUGUAGGUUAAAUGCCAAAAUUGCAUCAAGUACUUGACAGAUCUAGAAAUAGUGGAUGCGGUGAUACUAAUAUCCACAUGUCUCAUGACCGCAAAAUGUACACUAUGUAAAAGUGGAUUUUCAGAUUAGAACUAAUAUCAUUGAUGAAAAAAACGAACCAUGGUAGAAGGCACGUGAGGAGAGAACGGUGGCCAUGAGCACUAGGGCUAUGAGGCACACAACGCUAGUACUCUUGCCGAAGAUUGCCAUGAGGAGAUGCUGGAGCUUCUUUCUAAUCUGGAUCUGGGUGGUGUUG